GACAGAGGGUGCAAACGUUGUUCGGAAUUACUGGGCGUAAAGGGCGCGUAGGCGGGAUGGCAAGUCGGUCGUGAAAUCCCUCGGCUCAACCGAGGAACGUCGAUCGAUACUGCUGUUCCUGAGGAUUGCAGAGGAGACUGGAAUUCCCGGUGUAGCGGUGAAAUGUGUAGAGAUCGGGAGGAACACCGGUGGCGAAGGCGGGUCUCUGGGCAAUUCCUGACGCUGAGGCGCGAAAGCGUGGGGAGCAAACGGG
rnacentral:rRNA from 1 species